rnacentral:rRNA from 1 species
UCUAUGGCCUUACCACCAUGAACACACCCAAUCUUGUCUGAUCUUGGAAGCUAAGCAGGAUUCGGGCCUGGUAAGUACUUGGAUAGCCCAAAAAAGAUAUGUUUUGAUCAACCUAGAGCUGAUAUAA